rnacentral:tRNA from 4 species
GUUGGUAUACCCAAACGGUAAAGGGGAUGGUUUGCUAAACCAUUAGUUGGUAACUACCAAGCGAGGGUUCGAAUCCCUCUGCCAACGCCA